rnacentral:tRNA from 1 species
CAAAUUAGAGCUUGAGUAGAAAAGCAUUUCAUUUACAUUGAAGAGUUGUCGUGCAAAUCGAUUUAAUUUGA